AGUUUUUAUAGUUUAAAAUAAAACAUUGGUCUUGUAUACCAAAUAUAUAUAUAUAUGUAUCAUAUUAAAAACU
rnacentral:tRNA from 1 species